rnacentral:snRNA from 1 species
AAAUACUUUCUGUCUGGCUGUGUAAUCUGUAUACCCCUACUGACUGUCAGGGUUGAUUGGGCUGAUCUUGCUGGCUAGGCAAGUGGCCCCUUCCUCUCUCACUGCUCCAUGUGCAACCCUCCUGAAGCCUCCUGAUCAGUCAAAGAGGACAACUUUCCUUGAAUAGAGACAGACCAAUCUUCAGUCAAA